rnacentral:rRNA from 1 species
UACGUAGGUGGCAAGCGUUGUCCGGAUUUACUGGGCGUAAAGAGCGCGCAGGCGGUCGGAUAAGUCGAAUGUGAAAGCCCCCGGCUCAACUGGGGAGGGUCAUUCGAUACUGUUCGACUCGAAGGCAGGAGAGGGAAGUGGAAUUCCCGGUGUAGUGGUGAAAUGCGUAGAUAUCGGGAGGAACACCAGUGGCGAAGGCGACUUCCUGGCCUGUUCUUGACGCUGAGGCGCGCAAGCUAGGGGAGCAAACGGG